rnacentral:tRNA from 1 species
UGGAUUGAAGCCCGCUGGAUUGGGUGUUUAAUUGUUAAUUAAAGUUUUACGGGGUCGAAGCCCGUCAAUCUAU